rnacentral:tRNA from 1 species
GCGGCGGUAGUCUAGCUUGGACUAGGACGCCGGCCUGCCACGCCGGAGGUCCCGGGUUCGAGUCCCGGCCGCCGCA